AAUACCCUACGUUCUGUAUGUUGUUCGCUUGUAUUCUAUUGAACUUGUCUUGAGGGGGUCCGUGCCCGCCUUUAUAUACUGGGGGAGCAGGGUUACAGGGUAGUUGUCAUACAGGAGUACUAGUCGGAUUCGACUAGAGAGUUCUACUCUAACUCGGAGGAGUAGUUUCCAUGUCUUCGACUAGUCCCCUAGAGUCCAUGUAGACUACGCCACCCUGUAUCGUAGUCUCCAUGUCUUGAUACGAUUCAAUGUAUGUCUCCUGGUGUGGGUCCGUACAAGUCUUUUGGUAGGCCCAUAGGUGUAUGGCUGACAAGCCCCCGAGUACUUUCUAGUCAAAUGCAACAACCUUGAGUACUCGUAGAUGUUGCUCGACUAGUUCUUGGUACUCUUUGAGUACUUCUGUCGGAGUUGAGUUCUUCGAG
rnacentral:lncRNA from 1 species